rnacentral:rRNA from 1 species
GAUGAACGCUGGCGGCGUGCUUAACACAUGCAAGUCGAACGAGAAGUGGAGACGGACACCUUCGGGCGGAAGACUUUAUUUCGAGUGGCGGACGGGUGAGUAACGCGUGGGUAACCUGCCUCAUACAGGGGGAUAACAGUUGGAAACGACUGUUAAUACCGCAUAAGACCACAGCACCGCAUGGUGCGGGGGUAAAAACUCCGGUGGUAUGAGAUGGACCCGCGUUCGAUUAGCCAGUUGGCGGGGUAACGGCCCACCAAAGCGACGAUCGAUAGCCGAUCUGAGAGGAUGACCGGCCACAUUGGGACUGAGACACGGCCCAAACUCCUACGGGAGGCAGCAGUGGGGAAUAUUGCACAAUGGGGGAAAACCUGAUGCAGCGACGCCGCGUGAGUGAAGAAGUAUUUCGGUAUGUAAAGCUCUAUCAGCAGGGAAGAAAAUGACGGUACCUGAGGAAGAAGCCCCGGCUAACUACGUG